GGAAGGAUCCCAGAUUUCAGAGCUGUCACUUGGAGGAGGGGCACCCAGUGAAGAGUGACCAUAUGGAUUUGACCCCUAUCCUUCAGAGGUGCUCAGCCCAAGGGAACACGGGUAGUAGAUUAAGCACUGACCAGGGCCUGAAACAGGGAAGUUUGGCUGCAACAGGGAAGAUCCCCUUGAAAGAGACUAAGUGGCGUUUCAAACCACAUCCAGCCGAAUCAAAUCAGGGGUCUGCCGUCACCCUCUUCUGCAUCCACCUCUGCCUGCGAUGGCUCCCUGCCCCUGUAAAAGACAUUAUCUGCUUGAGAACAAUCCUGGAGAGAGGCCCUACUGAUGAGAGAUAUCUCAUGGGAGGACUGAAGGAGCAAAGGCUUUGCAGAACAUGGUCUUUAGAGGGGAAGUUGAGCGGUAGCAACAAAAGUUACCCAUCGGCGAAAACAGCUGGGGAGCCAUCUGUCCGGGAGAAGCUUCCUGCCCAUUUCAUUACCCCCCUUUCUGCAUUUGUGAGAGAACUGGCCGCUGACGGCAGGCGGUUUAUAGCAGAGGGAACAGAAGGAAACCAGUUGGCCCUUGGAUAACCUUGGCCUCAUUAGCAUCGAACCAAAGCCCACUGCGCUAUUGACUUCUAGUAAAUAUCCACCCAUCAAGAAGAUGUCCCGGAGCCCUGCCUCCGGGGUGUUCAGACACCAGACAGAGCCUUCUUGCUCCUCCAUCCCCAGCUUUGUGAUUCAGGAGCGGGUGCCUAACCAUUCUCCCUGCCCAUAACCAUCCAGCACUCAGAAACCACUCCAUCUUCCCGGGAGGGGACAGUGGUGGGGGGGUGGGCGGUGGGAAGGAAACCUCCAUGGUCACCUCGCUGAAAAUCUCCCAUUCUCUCGCUCUAAAGGGCCAAACAAACCCUAGAAAGGCAGUUCAGCAAAUGAAGUAUACGCAAUUAUAUUUCCAACUGCUUUGAAAACUUUUAUUUUUCUACAGCAAAUGACACAUUAUCUCUCUCGAGGUCAGGAAAUAAUGCAGUGGGAGUCUUGCGACAUUGUGAGAGUUAAUGUUUCUAUUUGCCAUUGUGUCCUGCGCAAAGAAAGGCGGCCGGUCAGCUGGGGUUACCACAACACAGCGCGGAGAUGGUGGAAUCCACCAGAAGUGCUUUGAUAAUGUUGGACACUAUUGUGCAGGCAAUGGCUUCCUCCUUACCCACGCUGCAUAAUGGGCCUCUGAGUGCUAAGGAGAUAAGCGAUACUAUCCUUGGAGUGUCAGAGGUAGGGCUCUCCAGAAGCUGCAUUCAUAAUUUCCUCCAACUUAAGGACUUUGAUUUUUUAAUAGUAAUUGAAACAUAUAAUUCAAUAGAAGUGUCACUCUAAUAUAAUAAUUGCCAAGGAAAUUGAACCACAAAGAAGUACUAUAAAUGGCAAUUUACCUUUAUUAGUGUACGUGGAGCUGGUAAUGUUUUCUCAUCAAGAAAGCGACCCCCACCCCCGCCCAGAUAUCCUCCCUUUCCAUCUUUUGAAUGUUCAUCAUCAUUCAUGCUGCCCUCUUAAGCAAUACCUUCGCUUCUUCUUAGAUUUCCAGUCGGCAUAUUUGGCCCCUCUUAAAAUGCUUAUCAUUGCAAAGUGUUCAUAUUAAUUGCUCUGGUGAAAGCUUUACAAUACAAACUUCAGCUAAACUCUUUAUUGUCAAAUGUCAGCUUCCUGACGUUCUACCUAGAACAUUUGCUUUUGUGGUUAUAAGUAAUAUAAAGGUGUUUUGUGUAUUUAAAGAACUAUGUAAGUAUAAGUCGCUGUUAUUGUGAUUCUGCACAUCUUUCUUAACAUGAAACAAUAUUUACAGAGGAUGUAUUAUACCACUGAACUAAGUCCGGGACCCAGCAUAGAAUAAAACAAGAAGCCAUUUCCCUCUCCUUGGGAGGUGUUGCUUGGAGCCACCUGAAUUACUAGUAUCAUUAUUAUUUCUGAUUAUUGAUAGGCAGGGGAGCACUUCACCUCCUAUUCCUGUGGAAAUAUACAACCUGCUCACUUCUUAUCCCACCCCUAUAAUUACUGAGCCAUUCUGUCAUCUGUUUCCUACCCUGAAUUCUGAUCCGUGCUUAUAACCACUCCCUCCCCUCUUUCCACUUACCUUCCUUGAUUCACUUCUAGGACACAUCUAGCAAGAGACUGACCCAAGACAGAAUACCACGCGGGAGCUCAAUGCACUCACUCUUUCCUGGAAAGGGUCUUUAUUCACAGGAAUCCCAGGAACCUGGGGUAAACUUUAGGUUUACUUAGAGGGAAAAAAAAAACCAAAGAAGAGAGAAGGAGACUAAGGAACAAAGAAAGAAGAACAGAGAGAGGGAGGUAGCAAAAGAAAAGAAGGGAGAGAAACAGGAAGGAACACAAAGAGAGGCUGACAUACACAUCCUGGACAAAGCCUCUGGUGGGGAGUUAAGUGAGGAGAAGGUGAGAUACAAGGUGUGUGUCCAUUAGGAUUGUUACUAUGUAACAUCUAUAUUUAUGAAGACAAAAAAUAGCAACAGAAUUUACCACAGUGAAAGUAGAUAUGCUUGGUUGUCAGGAUUAUGAGUAGUAUUUUCUUCGUCUUCUGGACUUCCUAUUAGGCACUAUCUUUAUAAUAGAAAAGUGAAAGAAAUGAGAUUCGAAAGGAUGGCAUAAAUUGUCAAAAGCAUCCCAUUACAGGGUGAACAAAUUAAUCAAGUACAAAAAGGCUGGCCUCUGAAGUCACCCAGAUUGAGUUGUCAUGUCUACCUGGCAACUGCGUUCAUUAACCCUGCUGGUUUCCAGUCACCUCCAUGGCUAAAUGAGGGAGGGUCUUUCCACUACCUAGCUGGUUUGUUAUGAGAAUGAAAGGGACUUGUAAUGGGCAUAACAUACCUUGUGACUCUCAAGUACUCAACAGGUGUGGGUCUCACUUCCUUCUGACCCAAGUAUUCCUAUUCAUUCCUAUGCACUCCAGUGGACCACUUCUACCUCAAAAACAUGUAGAAUAACAACCUGAGACAACAUUACUUGUUUUAACAUACAUUUAAAUAUGCCAUUAGGUAAAUCAUGACUGCUAAAAUAUUCUAACCACAUACAAUUAGUGUUGUAAAACACAAUGGCUUGACAAGUUCCAGUAUCUACAGGGGGUGGCUGAGUGCUCUGAAGUCCAGAUGCUCACUGGACCAAGAAUAAGGAGUCCCAAGCUUGAGUCCAAGUUGCUGCAAACAUGUUGGGGAAGAUACUUUGCUUCUCAUGGCCUUAGUUUUCU
ensembl:lncRNA